ACCAUCACAAAGGGGUGCCAUCUGGCUGAGAUUGAGUAAACACUCGGACCCUUCGAACCUGUUCGGUAAUGCGAGCGUAGGAAUUGUGAUGGGGUAAAUA
rnacentral:ncRNA from 1 species